GGGCGGUUAGCUCAGCUGGUAGAGCGUCUGCCUUACACGCAGAAUGUCGGGAGUUCGAGCCUCUCACCGCCCA
rnacentral:tRNA from 2 species